AUUGAACGCUGGCGGCAUGCUUUACACAUGCAAGUCGAACGAGUGGCGAACGGGUGAGUAACGCCUCGGAACGUACCGGGUGGUGGGGGAUAACUGUCCGAAAGGACAGCUAAUACCGCAUAUUAUUCGAGCGGCCGAUGUCUGAUUAGCUGGUUGGCGGGGUAAAGGCCCACCAAGGCGACGAUCAGUAGCGGGUCUGAGAGGAUGAUCAGCCACACUGGGACUGAGACACGGCCCAGACUCCUACGGGAGGCAGCAGUGGGGAAUAUUGGACAAUGGGCGCAAGCCUGAUGCAGCCAUGCCGCGUGUCUGAAGAAGGCCUUCGGGUUGUAAAGGACUUUUGGCAGGGAAGCGGUACCUGAAGAAGAAGCACCGGCUAACUACGUGCCAGCCGCCGCGGUAAUUC
rnacentral:rRNA from 1 species